UACGUAGGGUGCAAGCGUUAUCCGGAAUUAUUGGGCGUAAAGAGCUCGUAGGCGGUUUGUCGCGUCUGCUGUGAAAACUGGGGGCUCAACCCCAGCCUGCAGUGGGUACGGGCAGACUAGAGUGCGGUAGGGAGAUUGGAAUUCCUGGUGUAGCGGUGGAAUGCGCAGAUAUCAGGAGGAACACCGAUGGCGAGGCAGAUCUCUGGGCCGUAACUGACGCUGAGGAGCGAAAGCAUGGGAGCAACAGG
rnacentral:rRNA from 1 species